rnacentral:rRNA from 1 species
UACGGAGGAUGCGAGCGUUAUCCGGAUUUAUUGGGUUUAAAGGGUGCGCAGGCGGCCUGUUAAGUCAGCGGUAAAAGCACGGGGCUCAACCCCGGCGAGCCGUUGAAACUGGCGGGCUGGAGUUGGAGAGAAGUACGCGGAAUGCGCGGUGUAGCGGUGAAAUGCUUAGAUAUCGCGCAGAACCCCGAUUGCGAAGGCAGCUUGCUAGGCCGGAUCUGACACUGAUGCACGAAAGCGUGGGGAUCGAACAGG